rnacentral:rRNA from 1 species
UACGGAAGGCAGCAGUGGGGAAUAUUGCACAAUGGGCGCAAGCCUGAUGCAGCCAUGCCGCGUGUAUGAAGAAGGCCUUCGGGUUGUAAAGUACUUUCAGUCGUGAGGAAGGUGUUAAGGUUAAUAACCUUAGCAAUUGACGUUAGCGACAGAAGAAGCACCGGCUAACUCCGUGCCAGCAGCCGCGGUAAUACGGAGGGUGCGAGCGUUAAUCGGAAUUACUGGGCGUAAAGGGCACGCAGGCGGUUAAUAAGUUGGAUGUGAAAUCCCCGGGCUUAACCUGGGAAUGGCAUCAAGACUGGUUAGCUAGAGUCUUGUAGAGGGGGUAGAAUUCCAUGUGUAGCGGUGAAAUGCGUAGAGAUGUGGAGGAAUACCGGGUGGCGAAGGCGGCCCCUGGGACAAAGACUGACGCUCAUGUGCGAAAGCGUGGGGAGCAAACAGGGAUUAGAUACC